UGGCUCAGUGGUAGAGCACUUGCCUUGCAUGCAUGAGGCCCUGGGUUCAAUUCCUAG
rnacentral:tRNA from 1 species